rnacentral:tRNA from 1 species
GGAGAUGUAGCUCAGUGGUAGAGCGUUUUCCUAGCAUGCAGGAGGCCCUGGGUUCAAUUUCUAGUACCUCAA